rnacentral:rRNA from 1 species
UUGUCCGGAUUUACUGGGUGUAAAGGGUGCGUAGGUGGUAUGGCAAGUCAGAAGUGAAAGGCUGGGGCUCAACCCCGGGACUGCUUUUGAAACUGUCAAACUAGAGUACAGGAGAGGAAAGCGGAAUUCCUAGUGUAGCGGUGAAAUGCGUAGAUAUCGGGAGGAACACCAGUGGCGAAGGCGGCCUACUGGGCACCAACUGACGCUGAGGCUCGAAAGUGUGGGUAGCAAACAGGAUUAGAUACCCUGGUAGUCCACACUGUAAACGAUGAUUACUAGGUGUUGGAGGAUUGACCCCUUCAGUGCCGCAGUUAACACAAUAAGUAAUCCACCUGGGGAGUACGACCGCAAGGUUGAAACUCAAAGGAAUUGACGGGGGCCCGCACAAGCAGUAGAGUAUGUGGUUUAA